rnacentral:rRNA from 1 species
AGUGAACGCUGGCGGUAGGCCUAACACAUGCAAGUCGAACGGCAGCACAGUAAGAGCUUGCUCUUACGGGUGGCGAGUGGCGGACGGGUGAGGAAUACAUCGGAAUCUACUUUUUCGUGGGGGAUAACGUAGGGAAACUUACGCUAAUACCGCAUACGACCUACGGGUGAAAGCAGGGGAUCUUCGGACCUUGCGCGAUUGAAUGAGCCGAUGUCGGAUUAGCUAGUUGGCGGGGUAAAGGCCCACCAAGGCGACGAUCCGUAGCUGGUCUGAGAGGAUGAUCAGCCACACUGGAACUGAGACACGGUCCAGACUCCUACGGGAGGCAGCAGUGGGGAAUAUUGGACAAUGGGCGCAAGCCUGAUCCAGCCAUACCGGGUGGGUGAAGAAGGCCUUCGGGUUGUAAAGCCCUUUUGUUGGGAAAGAAAAGCAGCAGGUUAAUACCCCGCUGUUCUGGCGGUACCCAAAGAAUAAGCACCGGCUAACUUCGUG